rnacentral:misc_RNA from 1 species
UCCCCCGUGAGGGGGCAGUCUCGCCUGACAUAUUUAACAGACAACGGGGGUUGCGUUCGUUACCCCACUGAAGGGAACAGCUCAAGCCACGAACUGACGACAACCAUGCAUCACCUGUGCAGCACCCUCGAAGGAUUCCUCCGUUUCUGGAGGCGUGCAGCUGCAUUUCUAGCCCUGGUAAGGUUCUUCGCUUAUCGACGAAUUAAGCCACAUGAUCCACUGCUUGUGCAAGUCCCCGUCUAUUCCUUUGAGUUUUAAGCUUGCGCUCGUACUACCCAGGCGGCUCGCUUACCGCGUUAGCUUAGUCCCGCAGAGGGUCGAUACUCCGCAGAACGAGCGAGCAGCGUUUAGGGCCAGGACUA